CUAUACAUGCAGUCGAGCGGACAGAUGGGAGCUUGCUCCCUGAUGUUAGCGGCGGACGGGUGAGUAACACGUGGGUAACCUGCCUGUAAGACUGGGAUAACUCCGGGAAACCGGGGCUAAUACCGGAUGGUUGUUUGAACCGCAUGGUUCAAACAUAAAAGGUGGCUUCGGCUACCACUUACAGAUGGACCCGCGGCGCAUUAGCUAGUUGGUGAGGUAACGGCUCACCAAGGCAACGAUGCGUAGCCGACCUGAGAGGGUGAUCGGCCACACUGGGACUGAGACACGGCCCAGACUCCUACGGGAGGCAGCAGUAGGGAAUCUUCCGCAAUGGACGAAAGUCUGACGGAGCAACGCCGCGUGAGUGAUGAAGGUUUUCGGAUCGUAAAGCUCUGUUGUUAGGGAAGAACAAGUACCGUUCGAAUAGGGCGGUACCUUGACGGUACCUAACCAGAAAGC
rnacentral:rRNA from 1 species